UUAUCAACUAACCUGUACUACCAUGUAAUCCCCGGGAUAGGCUGGGGAGUAUCCACCUCCGGACCGUAAUCCGGAUUCACCAUGGUGAAUAAAAUGACCGUA
rnacentral:ncRNA from 28 species